UUUUAUGGAGAGUUUGAUCCUGGCUCAGGAUGAACGCUGGCGGCGUGCCUAAUACAUGCAAGUCGAGCGAACGGACGAGAAGCUUGCUUCUCUGAUGUUAGCGGCGGACGGGUGAGUAACACGUGGAUAACCUACCUAUAAGACUGGGAUAACUUCGGGAAACCGGAGCUAAUACCGGAUAAUAUUUUGAACCGCAUGGUUCAAAAGUGAAAGACGGUCUUGCUGUCACUUAUAGAUGGAUCCGCGCUGCAUUAGCUAGUUGGUAAGGUAACGGCUUACCAAGGCAACGAUGCAUAGCCGACCUGAGAGGGUGAUCGGCCACACUGGAACUGAGACACGGUCCAGACUCCUACGGGAGGCAGCAGUAGGGAAUCUUCCGCAAUGGGCGAAAGCCUGACGGAGCAACGACGCGUGAGUGAUGAAGGUCUUCGGAUCGUAAAACUCUGUUAUUAGGGAAGAACAUAUGUGUAAGUAACUGUGC
rnacentral:rRNA from 1 species